UACGUAGGUGGCAAGCGUUGUCCGGAUUUAUUGGGCGUAAAGCGAGUGCAGGCGGUUCGAUAAGUCUGAUGUGAAAGCCUUCGGCUCAACCGGAGAAUUGCAUCAGAAACUGUCGAGCUUGAGUACAGAAGAGGAGAGUGGAACUCCAUGUGUAGCGGUGAAAUGCGUAGAUAUAUGGAAGAACACCGGUGGCGAAGGCGGCUCUCUGGUCUGUUACUGACGCUGAGGCUCGAAAGCAUGGGUAGCGAACAGGAUUAGAUACCCUGGUAGUCAAGGGCG
rnacentral:rRNA from 1 species